GUUUAACUCUUCUGUUUUUGUUUUUCAAGAUUUCCAGAAAGCAAUAACUCAGAGGGAGUCAGAUUUCAGACAUAAUGUCAUUUUGUUUGGAGCUUUCACAUGGAUUUCCAGAAAACAAGGAGUCAGAUUUCAGACAUAACGUCACUUUGUUUGGAGCUUUCAGAUGGAUUUCCAGAAAACAAGGAUUCAGAUUUCAGACUUAACAUCACUUUGGAGCUUUCAGAUGGAUUUUUCAGGAAACAAUAAACCUCAGGGAGUCAAAUUUCAGACAUAAUGUGACCUUGUUUGGAGCUUUCAGAUGGUAAGGUACAUCUCAGAUUUAGUCUCAAAUACUGAAUACAGUUUAACUCUUUUUCUGCUUUUGUUUUUCAG